GCCUGCGUAGCAGUCGCUUUAUUUUAUUGUAGGUUUUGAGGAUUUUUGAAUAAAUGGCGAGUUAGAAAAAUUUUUCUCAAAAAAGUCCUCAAAACCUACAAUAAAAUAAAGCGACUGCUACGCAGGC